rnacentral:rRNA from 1 species
UACGGGGGGGAGCAAGCGUUGUUCGGAGUUUACUGGGCGUAAAGGGCGCGUAGGCGGCGUGAGCAAGUCACUUGUGAAAUCUCCGGGCUUAACUCGGAACGGUCAAGUGGAUACCUGUCGGACUUAGAGUACAGAAGGGGGCAACUGGAAUUCUCGGUGUAGCGGUGAAAUGCGCAGAUAUCAGGAGGAACGACCGGUGGCGAAGGCGGGUCUCUGGGCCGGAACUGACGCUGAGGAGCGAAAGCGUGGGGAGCGAACAGG